CUCAGGAUGAACGCUGGCGGCGUGCCUAAUACAUGCAAGUCGAGCGAACNNNUUAAGAGCUUGCUCUUAAGAAGUUAGCGGCGGACGGGUGAGUAACACGUGGGUAACCUGCCUAUAAGACUGGGAUAACUCCGGGAAACCGGGGCUAAUACCGGAUAACAUUUUGCACCGCAUGGUGCGAAAUUGAAAGGCGGCUUCGGCUGUCACUUAUAGAUGGACCUGCGGCGCAUUAGCUAGUUGGUGAGGUAACGGCUCACCAAGGCGACGAUGCGUAGCCGACCUGAGAGGGUGAUCGGCCACACUGGGACUGAGACACGGCCCAGACUCCUACGGGAGGCAGCAGUAGGGAAUCUUCCGCAAUGGACGAAAGUCUGACGGAGCAACGCCGCGUGAGCGAUGAAGGCCUUCGGGUCGUAAAGCUCUGUUGUUAGGGAAGAACAAGUGUGAGUUGAAUAAGCUCAUGCCUUGACGGUACCUAACCAGAAAGCCACGGCUAACUACGUGCCAG
rnacentral:rRNA from 2 species